rnacentral:tRNA from 1 species
UUAAUUGAAGCCAAAAUACGAGGCAUCUUAAUGUUAAUAAGAAGAAUGAUUUAAAAUAAUCCAAUUAAA